AAUGUAUUUAGAUUCUCUAUAAUAUAAGUACAAUCCUACUUGACGACGAUGAGUCUUUUCUUAUUUGAUAAGAAGUUUAAAACAUACUACAUCAAUUUGUAUAUCCUCUUUUUUUGAAUGUAUAUGUUGAAGAGAUGUUGGUGUUUCCAUCGAAUUGUAGAAACAUUGAGGCCCAUUUAUGCAACUCUUAGAUCGAAAUUAAAAAAGUCAAUUGUCAUAUUUCACAGCAAAGUCAAUUGCUUGACUCAAUGUUCGAAGAUUAAAUAAGUUGAACAUCAAUUUUUUUACUUCAUAUUAUAAUCCAUAGAAAAAUUGGCUAAUAAGUAUAGCAUCAUCCUUUUAAUAUCAGUUACAAGUUAUCAAAACUGUGAAGCAUAUAACGUUACAAAUCAAUUGCGUUGUCACAAAAUACGGAUCUUGUUAGUUGCAACUUAAGUUGUAUCAUGUUCUCUACACAUAGAUUGGAAUUCUUCCAAAAAUACCUCUAGAUUAUCUAAUAUUAGAUCUCGUUAUUUAAGAAAAGAUGAAAACUACAAUAGUGUUGAAUUUCAAAGAAGUAUAUCAAUGAAUCUAACUUGUGAUUCUAGAGUUGGAUAGCUUUGAAGUUGAAGUUCAAUCACAAGUUGUACUUGAUAGAUAAAUCCUCAAAAUUUGGAUCUUAUACCAUCAAACUUCUCAGACAAAGCAACUCUUAGUUCUUUAAUACUUGAAAGAUGUUCCAUUGUGGAUGAAGGGAUAUGAUUUGGUACAGAUAUUGAAGCUGUUUUAAUUAUCUCUAUAUUCUCACUUCCUACCAUUCUUGUUGAUCCUUGUG
rnacentral:lncRNA from 1 species